UCUUCAAAGUUUACGUUGUCUCAUAAUUAUCAUGAUUUUAAGGGUAAUUUUUAAGAGAAAAUUCUCUCCGUGUAUUAAUAUUCAACUUAACAAUUAAGAUGUUAAUUAAAAGUUAGGUGUCAACGAUUCGAUUCGAUGAUGAUGAGGAUAUCGAUAAUUAUAUCCUUCUCAUAAUUUUCAUAUUAUUAAUAAUAUUAGAAUAUUAUUUGGAUAUUGAACAUCUAUUAGCGAGUUUCAUUUUCCGCGGGAAAAUGUUUUGCUAGCGGUCGUGGCACUCCUGCAAUAUAUAAAUCUAAUAAAUUUCAUGUAUAGGAUGUUAGUGCUUAAUCUUGCUGUGCCGUGUUCGAAAACGGCGCCCCAGGACGUCUCAAUCGCAGGAAACACGAGCACCUGGCCCGACCUGGUCGGGCCAAUCGUCGCCAGUAUGUACUCCGACUUUAAAUAAACCGACGCAGCGAGAGCGCGUAACGCUCCAACGCGAGCUUGUUAUGACAAGCACGUGAUACAUUUGUUUUACAGCGGAACGUUAAAUUGAUGCAGCGGUGGCGGAGACACCGAUCGCGAUCCGUCGUAGUACAACCGAUACACUCUCGCCCUCUUUCCCUCCGUGUCUCUCCCGCCUGUCAAACGGAACGGAUCUUCGCAUUAUUGCGGUUUCCGAAUGAAACCCUCGCGAUGUUUCGAACGCGAGGAAUCCCACUCGCGGCAAAGAGAUCGUAUCUGUCGUUCGCGUCAUCCGUUUGAGCGAAGCAAUUAUGUAAUCGAUUUGUGGGUGAUUCGCUGAAGAGUCGCGAGGAAGGAGAGUCGAGAUAAACGCAAUUGGAGCCGUUGGUCGAUCGCGUUAAAAGACGCCUCGCGUAAAGCAGGUUUAAAGCGCGACGUUUUUACGCGAUUUAAUUUCUGCCUACGCGGCCGCGCGAAUAGCCGCCUCUCGCGACAGAUUAUCUCCACGCGACAUUAUCAUAAAUCUUGCGCAACGAUCGAAACCGUCGCAGCGGCGACGCGAACGUUUUUUUUUUCCUACGAUUCGAUGGCUAAAGAUAAUCGUAUCGUUCGCCGCGCGUGUCGUGCGCUAUCUUCUCGAAACAGGACAGGUGCAUUGUAAGAAAAGUAUACACUGAGAAAAAAGUAUAUGCAUCAAUUCGGAUCGAGAGGAGGGAGAUAGGAAAGAUAAUCAACAUUUUUUAGAUUUUUUCUCAUCUUUAUAAGUUGCUAGAACGAGCCUUUAUAUAAUAUGAACAUUACCUUAAUAUGAACAAAUGUUAUUAAAUAUUAUUUUAAAUUAUCAAAAUUUUUUAAUAACAAAAACUGUACUGAACGCGAUAAAAACUUAGUAGCAUUAAGAUUAAUUCUAGCAAUAAACGAUAAAAUGCAGCGGCAAAGUUGUGCAAAAA